GUCUACGGCCAUACCACCCUGAAAGCGCCUGAUCUCGGAAACUAAGAAGGGUCAGGCCUGGUUAGUACGUGGAUGGGAGAAGUCCAGUUUUGAGAUGACACACAAUAAUGAGACGAAAAACAGACACCAAAGACA
rnacentral:rRNA from 1 species